AUGGGACACAGAUUGGAAACAUUAGAAUUGCAUCUGGGGGAGAGGACUCUGGAUUUAUUCCCAAGGACUUACUCAGAUCUUUACACUGGAGUAUUUGAGCUCAGGGAAGCAGUAACUGGCCCAUGGCCCAGCAUCUCCCACACUCCCUCCAGCAGGACCUGCAGGGAAAGCGCACUCGGCCCCUGCAGGCGGCAUCAACGGGAUCAAACAGGAGCCCUGGUGGUGCCAGGCGAACACGGUGAACCGGAAGAACACUCUCUCGGCUCUGAGACCUGUGCUGUCAUUGGAGCCAGAGCGAAGAAAGCGAGCAGGGGCCUAGGCGCUAAACUAAACAGGGCGCCUGCUGCUGAAAGGAGAGACUUAGAUAGGGUCCAGAGUCUCGUCACUCAGUCCUCAAAACGUCCAGGGUACAGAGAUUCACCCAUCACACCAAGAGCCAGAAAAGUCACAACCUGAAUGAGACAAGGCAAUCAACUGAUAUCAGUAUAAAGAUAAACCAAAGAUUUGAAUUAUCUGACAAGGAUUGGACAGCAGCCAUAAUUAAGAAUUGCUUCAGGAGGAGGGACAAAUUGGAAGAUUAGAACUGACAUAUACUCAAUACUAUAUAUUUAAAAAGUAAGUAAUAACUGUGUACCCGGGGAAUUCUACUCAAUACUCUGUAAUGACCCAUAUAGGAAAAGAAGCUAACAAAUAAUAGAUAUAUGUAUAACCAAUUUACUCUGCUGUACAGCAGAAACUAACAAAACAUUGUAAAUCUGUGUUCCAAUAAAUAUUAAUUUAAAAAUUAAAAAUCCAAUUCUUAUUUCACUGAAAAAAAAUGCUUCAAUAAGCGAUUCUAAAUUAUCUCUAAACAAAUGACAAAAUAGAAAACUUCAGCAAAAACAUUU
rnacentral:lncRNA from 1 species